AAGUCGUAACAAGGUUUCCGUAGGUGAACCUGCGGAAGGAUCAUUAUUGAGAGAGGGGCUUCGCGCUCCCGGGGGCUCGGCCCCCCAACCAUCUUCACCCACUGUUAACCUACCUUUGUUGCUUUGGCGGGGCCUUGAGUUCAUGUCAUGCCAGCCCCCGGGGCCCACCCCGGGCCAGCGUGUGCCCGUCAGAGGUCCUUUUAAAUUCUGUCUAUUGGUGUCGUCCGGCUAUAUUCAAUCAUCAAAA
rnacentral:misc_RNA from 1 species